ACAGCGGCACACUACUUCCUGCUCAUGUCAAAGCUUUAGGGCUCCACUACGGAUAUUUUAGCUGCAAAACGUUAGGAUGAGAAAACAAAAGCCACAAAAGACACAAAGCCACACUAAAUGGACAAAACUAUUGGGACUCAUGGACCACUUUUCAACUGGAAGACUAUCUAUGGACCAUCUAUGAAGCCCUCUGUUCCCUGGCUUCCUCCAUCCAUCCGCCUUGAGGUUGCAGGUAGCUGGCCAAGUGGAACAGGAUUAGAACGCUGCCACGUGUCAAGAGGAGAGGUGGGGGGGAAGCAAAGCAGCACGAGGAGAGACAAAGACUGGUGAAUAGAUUUACUGGAGGUACGGAACAUUAAAGACUGUUCUGAACAUAAAUGACCUGAACCGAUGUUGAAGUGUGAAGGGAUGAGGCAUAAAACAAACAAGUUGUUAAGAUGUGUCCAAAAGUAUCAUGAAAAAGGACUGUUAAAUUAAUGGAAGAAAGCUGCCACUUUACAAAGAUUCCACUGUCAGUGACCUCAUGCUUCAAAAAUGGUAGACCUUAAGUCUGAACAUGAAUGUACCUCAAACAUACUCAAUGCUGUCUUCAGUCUUUGCAAAAACAUAUUCUACAUUCAUUGAGGACUCUACAGUAAAUUGUCUUCUGUCUUUACGAAAUCCUGUAUGUCAUAAUUGUUAAAGGGGCCCUAUCCUGCCCAUUUCAGGGGCUUUUAAAAAUGAUAUGGGAUCCCAGUGGGACACUAUUGUAAGUUUCUUGAAUCCAUGAGUUCUGCAUUCUUCUCCUCUU